rfam:Toxocara canis scaffold139, whole genome shotgun sequence.
AGGGCAGUAGCUCAGUCGUAGAGCUUCUGCCUCGUACGCGGGAAGACCUGAGUUCGAUUCCCGGCUGCUUUC